GGGGGACACAGACAUGGAAACAGGCAGUGAACGGCAGUGCUGUGAUGGCAGACGCACAGGCAGCUUCAGACACGCAAAACUUCCUGACCAGGGAAGGUCCGGAAGGGCUUCCUGGAUGAAGGGGCGUCUAAGCUCAAUACUCAAAGUGCAAGAUAGACUGGCCAGGUGAUGAGCAGGAGAAGGCACCACAUUAAACUGGAGGCCAGAGAGUGGGGUGCAUUGUGAGAACCGGGGAAAGAUAAACCGCUGAGUUUCCCUUGCCCCCACCCCCGACAGAAUGGAGGGACGCCCCUGCUGUACGCUGUGCGUGGGAACCACGUGAAGUGCGUUGAGGCCUUGCUGGCCCGAGGCGCCGACCUCACCACCGAGGCCGACUCAGGCUACACCCCGAUGGACCUCGCCGUGGCCUUGGGAUACCGGAAAGUGCAACAGGUGAUCGAGAACCAC